CCUACGGGAGGCAGCAGUAGGGAAUCUUCCGCAAUGGGCGAAAGCCUGACGGAGCAACGCCGCGUGAGUGAUGAAGGUCUUCGGAUCGUAAACUCUGUUAUUAGGGAAGAACAAACGUGUAAGUAACUGUGCACGUCUUGACGGUACCUAAUCAGAAAGCCACGGCUAACUACGUGCCAGCAGCCGCGGU
rnacentral:rRNA from 1 species